ACUGCGGCGCUUCUCGCCAGUGUCCACAUUGCCAAACAAUCGACGCCUUAUCUGUUAUUGAAGUAAUGACUUCUUCUGGUGGGCAGACAGAAUUCAGACCUGGGCCUUUGUAUUUCUUUGACCAGCCAACAAGACGAAGCAGGAUUAAAGGGACGCGCAGAAACAUUUUGCAUUGUAGUGUGUCACACGAGGAGGCACAUUUGGGAGACGCAGCAAAAAGUAGUGGAAAGAAUGAGGACAAGGAGCUGACUGGCAGGCUGUCAGGUGCACCAUGUGGGGAUCCUGGUGCCUCUUCUGCUGUGGGUGCUGCGCACAACAUAAGCGACCACGAUCCGGUGGGCGCAUACAAGCGAGCAGCCCCUCGGUUACUAAAUGAACUGGCUGGUUUACUUUCACAACAUAAGUGGACUGACAAGAGACGUAUUCCACGCGGGAUUGUAAAUAUUUUGAAUUACUCCUGGCAGGAUCUGACUGCAGGGGCGGUCUUGAAAAGUCCGGAACAGACUGACAAACAACGAAAGUUAAAAGGUUCCUUGGAGCUGGAACAAAUUAACAGACCGAUGUCCUCCAAUGACACGAACCAAACGGGAAGCAUCGAAUCAUGUGUUGUGGGAAACGUCGGUCCAUCUGAGAGAAAGACACGAGUUAGCUCAAAUCCACCUGUGAAAAAAUGCAAAGUCUCCAAAAAAGGUUGGCUCACUGAGAUGGAGCAGCUUUCCUAUGAUGCGCCUCAGCAGAUCCAAUUGUGUCAGUGGGUGGUGGAGCGACUGCAGGCAGAGCAAAAUUCUGAAAAACCACAAACAGCAAAGCAGAACCAGAACACGGCCCUCAUACUCCGUCACUAUGGAGAUGCAAAAGAACAAAAAAAGGCCCAUCCUACCACUUUAGUUAAUGGGAUUCCCAGGAUACCAGAAGUGAAGCAGCAGGAUCGAGCACAGCAGAAACUAUACUACAGGAUCAGCGAUGGCUCCUCAUUCAUAUACUACCGCUCUGGUUGCAUGGCCGUAUGCCAAAGCCACUCAGGUCUGCACUGUGGAGGCUUGUAUACCAACGUGUUCAGUGACAGCAAGUGUCCCACUGUCCUAGCAACUAUCACAGCAUUUGGGCAUGGGGCUGUUACACACCCUCUUAGCUCUGCAAUUACAGCAGUGUGGGACCAGAAUGGUGGAUUCAUUUGUGAUGGAUUGGGGAGCAUAACUAAGGAGUGGAGCUGGCAGACAGCCCAUACACAGAGGGAGAUUCUUAUACAGGUGUCAGAGCUGAUCGCUGUCAGGCUGCUCAGUGGUACUUCUGCCAUGCUCAGCUUCAGGUGCAAUGAUGAAAGUGUUCAACUUCCCCUUUCUGCCCUGUCUAACAUUCACCGAAAAAAAAAGGAAAUGCCGUGUCUGCAGACUGAUGGGAAGUUUAUCUCUGAUGCUGCUCUUGAACUCCUGCUGGUGAGGAAGACAAAAUCCCCUGUGGUGGACCUAGAGGGCAAGACACCAACAAUAACACCUGCCCGCCAGAUGAUCAGAGAGGUGGAGGGGUCCAGUGACCUUUCAGCACUGUGGAGAAGAGGAGGGCAAGCUGGCAGGGUGCUGAAGAGGCUUCAGCAAAGAGUACAAAACACCCUGGAUGACUGGCUGGAGUAUUAUCAAGUGGCCACUGGUAUCAAGUGUCCUCACACAGAGCGGCUGCCAAAUGCCCCACUAAAGACCAGGCUGGGAAGAGAGGUACAGUCAGCUGCUCUGCCCUCUCUGAGCACACCUGAGCGGGCUAAUGCCAAACCAGGCCAGUCAGAGGAGGGUAGGAACGAGCUACAGAAGCUACACAGACACCUGUCACCAACAGCAGAGAGCCCUCCUGACUCCUCUGUCAGGCUGUCAAGGUCAGUGAUUAUUCCAGAUACUCCAGAGCCACAGCCCUCCACUGUUCUCCACUGUCCAGCCCCACUGAAGUUCACCCCCUCCGUCCCUCUCACAGCGUGUCCUGUGGUGCUGAGAGCUGCACUGCUGGGGGAGGGGGGACGGAGGCGAUGUUGCUGCAGCGCUACUCUGAUGCCAGUAGUGAGGGACCUGGAGUAUGAUGCCUUUGUGAUGGGCCAGCCUUCAAACAGUCAACAAAUUCUGGUGGUGUGUGUGACUCUGCUGCGCCAACCCAUCAACACACAUAGAGUAGCUGACCAGGAUCCACUGGAGAUGCUGUACAGAAGGAGGAACAGGAACAGAACCAUGCCCUGCACUCAGUGCCAGAUGGAUUCAUUUCGCCUUGUGAGGUAUGAGAUAUCGCCCGGCUGUGGAGUCAAGAGCAACUUGCUGCAGCAGCGGCACAAUGCUGCUCCCGGGAUGAUCCUGAUGUACAUCAGAGGGAAGCUGCUGUUCCUGGGCUAUAUAUGCAGUGAUCACAGCUGCUCAGUCAGGGACCUUCAAAAGCAAAUCUCCAGAAGCAGGGGAGACUACAGAUUAGGUCUGGGCCUCCCACCGGACUACAAGUUCAGUGAAACAGUGAGCACCCUUACAGACCUAGAUGUACAAAGUUCACAACAUGGAAGACUUACAUAACAGGAGGAAAUGAGUAACGCUGUCAGGUUCAGCACAAAAGGCCAGUAAAAGUAAGAAAGUUUUUAAGAUACCUGACUGAAUUACCUGAUGACCUGAUGCCCUCUGCCUAAACAGAAAACACCAAAAAACCCCUGAGGCAUCUUACCGGCAGCACAGGACCCUUUUCAUUGAAACAAAGACUCCUGCGUUUCCUCAUGUUCCUGUUACCACACAUUGAUAGGAUUACAUCUGUUACGUUUCAUCUGUGGGUAAACACUUUAGGUUGCUGUAAUACAGUCAGACUACAACCACCUCAUUUGCUUCCCAUACAUGCUUGCAUCACUGCUUAGACUAAUUUGUGGCUGAGAUUCAAAAUUCCUUUUUCACACUGGCGAUUCUUCUGGUCACCAGGGCACAAGAUGACUGACUGCAGAUGUUUCAGUGUUUUGUGUAACAGGAUUUCCAUCUUACAUACAUAUUGCUGAGAAAUUGGUGUAUUUGUUGUUACAGGUUUUAGUAAAGUUGAUCGGAUUUAAUAAAAACA